GCUCCAGUGGCGCAAUCGGUCAGCGCGCGGUACUUAUAGGGCAGUACGCGGAGCAAUGCCGAGGUUGUGAGUUCGAGCCUCACCUGGAGCA
rfam:Callipepla squamata strain Texas jcf7180005234796, whole genome shotgun sequence.